rnacentral:rRNA from 2 species
UACGUAGGAGGCAAGCGUUGUCCGGAGUUAUUGGGCGUAAAGCGCACGCAGGCGGUCCUGUCAGUCUGGGGUGACAGUUCCCGGCUUCACCGGGAAAGUGCUCUGGAAACUGCAGGACUUGAGGGCUUCAGAGGGAUGUGGAAUUCCAGGUGGAGUGGUGAAAUGCGUAGAGAUCUGGAAGAACACCAAAGGCGAAGGCAGCAUCCUGGGAAGUUCCUGACGCUCGGGUGCGAAAGCCAGGGGAGCGAACGGG